GAGGAUAUUGGUCAAUGGACGAGAGUCUGAACCAGCCAAGUAGCGUGAAGGAUGACUGCCCUAUGGGUUGUAAACUUCUUUUAUACGGGAAUAAAGUGAGGCACGUGUGCCUUUUUGUAUGUACCGUAUGAAUAAGGAUCGGCUAACUCC
rnacentral:rRNA from 1 species